AACGUAGGACACAAGCGUUAUCCGGAGUUACUGGGCGAAAGGGCGUGUAGGCGGACCUAUAAGUCUAUUCUGAAAGCUCCUGGCUAAACUGGGAGAGGCGAAUGGAGACUGUAGAUCUAGAGUGAGGAAGAGGAAAGUGGAAUUCCGCGUGUAGUGGUGAAAUGCGUAGAGAUGCGGAAGGAACACCAGUGGCGAAAGCGACUUCUGGUCCUAACUGACGCUGAGGCGCGAAAGCAUGGGGAGCGAACAGG
rnacentral:rRNA from 1 species